AAAGCCCGCGAAAAAGCGGAAGUCUGGCCAGUCAGAGCCAGCGCGUGCACACAUCCGUACUGUCUACUCCCUGCUGAGAGGACUGAUGAGUUUUCUGGAGCAUCAUCCCACACUGGUUGCAGUGAAGCUUGGAUACGCAAAAUUCUUGCAAACCAAGAAAUGAUUAAAGAACAGAUGGGAACAUUGGUUAAAUUGGUCUACCACCUCAAAAAAUUAUCAAUUACAGAAGACAGCCCAACAUUAAACACAGACUGUUUUCCACUGUCAAGUUUUCAACAACUUGAAGUCAUGGAGGGGCAGCUGCAGCAGGAAGACUACAAAACAGCUGUGAUAAACACGUUAGCCUUGAGGGGAGGCACAACAGUAAAGGAAAGUGUAUGGCGGAUUCUGAGUUUCCUUCUAUCAAACGACAUGGCCCUGCAAAUGAACUGGAGGGGAAUCAAUGGAAAAGCGGCAUUCAAAGACACCUCUCUGAAAACUGUAAUUAAUGGUGUCAUUGUAGCUGCAGUCAGAAGAAACCGUUUGACUUCCACUGCAACAGACCAAGAAGUAGAAAACUGGAUCAAGAGAUGGCUGCAGCUUUCCGCAGAGAGGGAUGGAGGCCGUCGGGCAAGACAAAAAAAUUUCCUUGUUCUGACACUUGCUUGUUCAACGGACUGCCCUUUUGCUUUGCUGUUUUUGAACUAUAGAUCUGAUACUCCACUUGUUUAUUAAAUUCUCCUGGUUCUGACAGUCGCUCGCCCUGCCUGUUCAACCGACUGCCCUUUUGCCUUGCUCUGUUUUUUUAACUAUAGAUCCAAUUCUACGCUUGUUUUAUUAAAUUCUCCUGGUUUUAAGUGACACUUGCUUGACCUUGUUCAAAAUAUGUAGACCUUGUCUAAUGUUUUCUUUGGACUGAUUUCUGGCUGUCCUCCCUUUCUGGACCCUGCCUGUUUUUAUUUUAUAUUUGUUAUUUAUAUAAUAUGUAUAUAGAAUGUAUUGUUUCCUGUUUUUGAUUUUUAUACAUUUAAAUGUAUUCAUGAAAUAUAUUUAUUAAAUCAC